rnacentral:misc_RNA from 1 species
GAAAUGCGAUACGUAGUGUGAAUUGCAGAAUUCAGUGAAUCAUCGAAUCUUUGAACGCACAUUGCGCCCUUUGGUAUUCCAAAGGGCAUGCCUGUUCGAGCGUCAUUUGUACCCUCAAGCUUUGCUUGGUGUUGGGCGUUUUUGUCUUUGGCCCGCCAAAGACUCGCCCUAAAAUGAUUGGCAGCCGGCCUACUGGUUUCGCAGCGCAGCACAUUUUUGCGCUUGCAAUCAGCAAAAGAGGACGGCAAUCCAUCAAGACUCCUUCUCACGUUUGACCUCGGAUCAGGUAGGGAUACCCGCUGAACUUAAGC